rnacentral:rRNA from 1 species
GACGAACGCUGGCGGCGUGCUUAACACAUGCAAGUCGAACGAAGUGGCGAACGGGUGAGUAACGCCUAAUCAACCUGCCCUUCAGAGGGGGACAACAGUUGGAAACGACUGCUAAUACCGCAAACUGAAGGAGGGGAUUGCGUCUGAUUAGCUAGUUGGAGGGGUAACGGCCCACCAAGGCGAUGAUCAGUAGCCGGGCUGGGAGGAUGGACGGCCCAAAUGGGACUGGAGCAAGGCCCCGACUCCUACGGGGGGCAGGAAGGGGGAAACUUCCGAAAUGGAGGGAAGUCUGGAGGCGCAACGGCGCGGGGGUGGUGACAGGCUUCGGGUUGUAAAGCUCUGUUAAUCGGGACGCGGUACCGGAAGAGAAAGCCACGGCUAACUACGUGCCAGCAGCCGCGGUAAUUC